rnacentral:rRNA from 1 species
UACGGAGGGAGCUAGCGUUGUUCGGAAUUACUGGGCGUAAAGCGCGCGUAGGCGGCUUUGUAAGUUAGAGGUGAAAGCCCGGGGCUCAACUCCGGAAUUGCCUUUAAGACUGCAUCGCUAGAAUCCGGGAGAGGUGAGUGGAAUUCCGAGUGUAGAGGUGAAAUUCGUAGAUAUUCGGAAGAACACCAGUGGCGAAGGCGGCUCACUGGACCGGUAUUGACGCUGAGGUGCGAAAGCGUGGGGAGCAAACAG